CCUACGGGUGGCAGCAGUGGGGAAUAUUGCACAAUGGGGGAAACCCUGAUGCAGCGACGCCGCGUGAGUGAAGAAGUAUUUCGGUAUGUAAAGCUCUAUCAGCAGGGAAGAAAAAAGACGGUACCUGACUAAGAAGCCCCGGCUAACUACGUGCCAGCAGCCGCGGUAAUACGGAGGGGGCAAGCGUUAUCCGGAUUUACAGGGUGUAAAGGGAGCGUAGACGGUAUGGCAAGUCUGAAGUGAAAGCCCAGGGCUUAACCCUGGGACUGCUUUGGAAACUGUUAGACUAGAGUGCUGGAGAGGUAAGUGGAAUUCCUAGUGUAGCGGUGAAAUGCGUAGAUAUUAGGAGGAACACCAGUGGCGAAGGCGGCAAUCUGGCUGGAAACUGACGCUGAGGUGCGAAAGCGUGGGUAGCAAACAGGAUUAGAUACCCGAGUAGUC
rnacentral:rRNA from 1 species